rnacentral:rRNA from 1 species
AUUGAACGCUGGCGGCAGGCCUAACACAUGCAAGUCGAGCGGAUGAAGGGAGCUUGCUCCUGGAUUCAGCGGCGGACGGGUGAGUAAUGCCUAUGAAUCUGCCUGGUAGUGGGGGAUAACGUCCGGAAACGGGCGCUAAUACCGCAUACGUCCUGAGGGAGAAAGUGGGGGAUCUUCGGACCUCACGCUAUCAGAUGAGCCUAGGUCGGAUUAGCUAGUUGGUGGGGUAAAGGCCUACCAAGGCGACGAUCCGUAACUGGUCUGAGAGGAUGAUCAGUCACACUGGAACUGAGACACGGUCCAGACUCCUACGGGAGGCAGCAGUGGGGAAUAUUGGACAAUGGGCGAAAGCCUGAUCCAGCCAUGCCGCGUGUGUGAAGAAGGUCUUCGGCUUGUAAAGCAAUUUAAGUUGGGAGGAAGGGCAGUAAGUUAAUACCUUGCUGUUUUGACGUUACCAACAGAAUAAGCACCGGCUAACUUCGUG